rnacentral:lncRNA from 1 species
ACAAUCGUCAAGGAGAUCCAGGUGCAAAAUAUCUUCAUUAUGAUCUACUCCAUGUUGCAUAUGUACUUGUUAAUAGGAAUUCUACUGGGGAUUUUUUUCAUAUAUAUUUUUGAAGUAGCUGAGUCUGUGCAUUAAUUAAAUGGCGCUGUAUGUAAAGUAGUUCCAUACUAUUUUUGAAAUUCUGACAUUUUAGCAAAGCGAUUACAUAUAAUAGUCUGUACAUGUUCGACGCUGGCAUUUUUACUACCUUG